UUUGGCACUAGCACAUUUUUGCUUGUGUCUCUCUGCUCUGAGCAAUCAUGUGCAGUGCCAAUAU
rnacentral:ncRNA from 2 species